UUUAGUAUAUAUUUUUUAAAAGUUGGUUACAAAUUAUGAGUAUAAAUACUUAUGUUUAUGCACAAUAAAAGAUAUCAGUUUCCCUUUCAUUCUUUUGCCUCUUAUACGUUAAAAUCCAACAUCCUUCCCAACUGUCCCCAUUCUGCUUUGGACCCAGUUUACCUAUCACACUAAGAGCAGUUCUCCCUGCACCUUACCUCUUUCUCCCUGCACCUCCAAAAUUACAUUUUUCUCCUUCAUUUAAUAAAAGUCAAAACACUUAAUGAUUUAUUAAUGAUUUCUUAACUAGUAAUACCCCUCC
rnacentral:lncRNA from 1 species